CAGAGUUCAUGCCCCUCGGGGCAGACCUCCCACCCUUUGUAUACAUUACCUUUGUUGCUUUGGCGGGCCGCCCUCGCGGCCACCGGCCUCGGCUGGUGCGCGCCCGCCAGAGAACCCCAAACCCUGUCUUACAGUGUCGUCCGAGUACUAUAUAAUAGUUA
rnacentral:misc_RNA from 1 species